rnacentral:rRNA from 1 species
UAGGGAAUCUUCGGCAAUGGACGAAAGUCUGACCGAGCAACGCCGCGUGAGUGAAGAAGGUUUUCGGAUCGUAAAACUCUGUUGUUAGAGAAGAACAAGGACGUUAGUAACUGAACGUCCCCUGACGGUAUCUAACCAGAAAGCCACGGCUAACUACGUGCCAGCAGCCGCGGUAAUACGUAGGUGGCAAGCGUUGUCCGGAUUUAUUGGGCGUAAAGCUAGCGCAGGCGGUUUCUUAAGUCUGAUGUGAAAGCCCCCGGCUCAACCGGGGAGGGUCAUUGGAAACUGGGAGACUUGAGUGCAGAAGAGGAGAGUGGAAUUCCAUGUGUAGCGGUGAAAUGCGUAGAUAUAUGGAGGAACACCAGUGGCGAAGGCGGCUCGCUGGUCUGUAACUGACGCUGAGGCUCGAAAGCGUGGGGAGCAAACAGG